AGCGAAAAGGGCAAACCCGGCGAAAGCCGGGGACGCGAAAGCCGUGAGUCUAAGGCAUUCGUGCACCGCUUCGGGCACGGGUGCUAUGACCGUCAGGUUGCCGCUC
rnacentral:ncRNA from 1 species